rnacentral:tRNA from 1 species
GCUGCUGUAGCCCAACGGUCAGAGGUGCUGGUCUUAGAAACCAGAGGUUGUGGGUUCAACUCCCACCAGCAGUACCA